GGACGAACGCUGGCGGCGUGCUUACCCCAUGCAAGUCGAACGGAAAGGCCCUGCUUUUGUGGGGUGCUCGAGUGGCGAACGGGUGAGUAACACGUGAGUAACCUGCCCUUGACUUUGGGAUAACUUCAGGAAACUGGGGCUAAUACCGGAUAGGAGCUCCUGCUGCAUGGUGGGGGUUGGAAAGUUUCGGCGGUUGGGGAUGGACUCGCGGCUUAUCAGCUUGUUGGUGGGGUAGUGGCUUACCAAGGCUUUGACGGGUAGCCGGCCUGAGAGGGUGACCGGCCACAUUGGGACUGAGAUACGGCCCAGACUCCUACGGGAGGCAGCAGUGGGGAAUAUUGCACAAUGGGCGGAAGCCUGAUGCAGCAACGCCGCGUGCGGGAUGACGGCCUUCGGGUUGUAAACCGCUUUCGCCUGUGACGAAGCGUGAGUGACGGUAAUGGGUAAAGAAGCACCGGCUAACUACGU
rnacentral:rRNA from 1 species